AUUCUACACUAACCAGAAUGUACUUGUUGCCAAAUGAAGAUGGGAAUAUAUCCAUAAAGUUUAUUCCCCACACAUCAAACAGCUCCCCUUCAAGUACACCCUGCAGUGGCAUCUCAUUCCUUUUUGAAAUAUUUCUAGUUCUUUGGCACUGAUUGCAUGUUAGUAUAAAGUUUCUUACAUCUUUAAAUAGAUUGGGCCACUAGAACCCUGCUUAUAAGAUCUCUGCUACUGUUCUUAUUGUACUAAAGUGUCCUCUAUAAGGUGAUGAGUGACAAUGCUAUAGUAUACUCUUUAUCUCCUCCUUUGGUAUGCAUCUUCUUAUUAGUCCAUUAUAACAUCUCUUGAAUAGCAAAGGUUCCUCCCA
rnacentral:misc_RNA from 1 species